UUUGACUUUGCAACAGCAGAAAAACAUAAAGCCUCUUUAUUGGAUGCAGAUGCUAGAAACCAAUGUCAUGAUCCCCAGGGGAUUUGUUCCAUAGCCCACAAGAGCCCUGAUGCUGGAAGAACUCUGAAUUCCCAGGCGCUGCCCCAGGCAUAUUAAUAUAUCGGAAUGAAGACACAUAUUUCAGGGAAUUAUCAGCAUACAGAUGGUAUCUGAAGUCAUGGGAAUGGUUGAAAUGGUCCAAGGAAUGAAAAGAAACUGAGAAGUGAAGAAGGCUGAGGACCAAAUUUAGUGAAUGGGCCUGAAGGAGGAUCAGGAAGAAGUGAGAGAGAAUGUGUAAACUAUGGUGCAAGUCAGCAACUUACAUAGGGAAGACUAUGAAUGUGUUUUCUUGACUUGGUGAGACAGGAGAUAAGUUACAGGAGCGAAAGAGGAAGAAAACAGACACCGGAUAGUGGAAAAAGCUGUGACUU